GACGAACGCUGGCGGCGUGCUUAACACAUGCAAGUCGAACGGAAAGGCCCUGCUUUUGUGGGGUGCUCGAGUGGCGAACGGGUGAGUAACACGUGAGUAACCUGCCCUUGACUUUGGGAUAACUUCAGGAAACUGGGGCUAAUACCGGAUAGGAGCUCCUGCUGCAUGGUGGGGGUUGGAAAGUUUCGGCGGUUGGGGAUGGACUCGCGGCUUAUCAGCUUGUUGGUGGGGUAGUGGCUUACCAAGGCUUUGACGGGUAGCCGGCCUGAGAGGGUGACCGGCCACAUUGGGACUGAGAUACGGCCCAGACUCCUACGGGAGGCAGCAGUGGGGAAUAUUGCACAAUGGGCGGAAGCCUGAUGCAGCAACGCCGCGUGCGGGAUGACGGCCUUCGGGUUGUAAUCCGCUUUCGCCUGUGACGAAGCGUGAGUGACGGUAAUGGGUAAAGAAGCUCCGGCUAACUACGUG
rnacentral:rRNA from 1 species